rnacentral:tRNA from 1 species
GCGGGCGUAGUCCAAUGGUAGAACGAGAGCUUCCCAAGCUCUAUACGAGGGUUCGAUUCCCUUCGCCCGCUCCA